rnacentral:sRNA from 1 species
AAAAGGACAUGUUUUUGUUAAACAGGCGGGCAUUGAACUUGCCGAGUUCCUAUGACUUAAUUAACUAAGAUACUAAUUCAAUCAUUAUUACAAUAAAUCACAAAUUAAAUCAAUCAUUCAAGUAAACAAAUAAAGCCAAAUAAAUAAAUCAUAAAAGAAAAUAAUCUAUAACGAAAUAACUGAUGGCUGAUUUCAAGCCUACAAAAUUCCCAACAAAAUUAUAAACUUAAAUUGAGUCCUAAAAAUGAAGUACCAAUGGAAUUCAAUAAACAAUCAUUACUUCAAAUACCUAAAAAUCCGAUUUGGUUCAAUAUUACACCAAUUUGAAUUUUUUGUUUAUACUAGAGAGAAAGGACAACUAGUUCGGUGUGAUUUUCUAAUUUCAGUUCAGGAAAAUUUCCACAGAACUUUAUUUGUCUACUCGUAGUACAGUUAUUACCUCACUCAUAAUUUUAAGGAUUGAAUUCGUAUAUUGCCAAUGAAAGUGAUUUUGUGAAAAUGAAGCAGUUUGUUGCUUCGUUAAGGCAAUGCUCUGAC